UAAAUAGUCCGGCCGGCUUUUGCUGGUCGCAGACUUCUUAGAGGGACUAACAGCGUUUAGCUGUUGGAAGUUUGAGGCGAUAACAGGUCUGUGAUGCCCUUAGAUGUUCU
rnacentral:rRNA from 1 species